rnacentral:lncRNA from 1 species
UUAAAUUUUGGAAAUUUGUCUUUCAAGACUAACAAAAUACACUCUCUCUUUCUUCAACUUCCAAGAUCAAACAUCCACUUUCUCUUCAAUAAUAGAUGAAGAUGUAAAGAACACAAUUUUUGAAUCUUGAAGUUCUAAGGUUCAAGUUGGACCCCAAACAUCAACAACACCUUUCCAACUUAAAAAUACAUCACAAUAAACACCAUACAUGUUCAAACCUUGAACCAACAACACAUCACACGUUCAAGUCUCAAACCCGAAACAAUAAUCGGUCAUAAUUUUGUUCAUAACAACAAUAUCAACAUCAACAUUUCAAGCUCAGAUCUUCAUCUAGACUCAAGAGUGUUAGUGAUGAAUAAACUAACCCUAGAAACAACAAAACAAACAAAAUGAAUUCUUGAUCUAGACAAAAAAACAAAAUUUUUGUCCAAGACAACGACAAAAUCUAGAUUCGGCCAAGAACUAGAACAAGAUUUCAAUUUUCUAGAAUUUUUCAAUUUUCAAUGUUUUUUUUAUAUAUUUUUUUGAAUUUUCAUCCAAGAGAACCCAAGAUUGGUAGUGUAGGAACACAACCAACCUUUAUUUGAUACCAAAUGAGAUCAAAACUCCCCAAGAACACACGAAACAAACACCAAAAUUAGUCCACUAGUUCAAAAACUAUGGACCCUUUUGAUGAUCUAUCUCGGAUUAGCAAGAAGAACAAGAAAGAAAGUGAUAUCAAAUGUAAAACACACUAAAAAAUAGCAACAACACGUGAUGAACAAGAUGAACACAAGAAAAAAACUUUCGGAUUCAACAAGACACAAAAACAGUCCACUACAAAGUGCAAUAAGAUAAAGAUGAUAGAUAGACAAAUGAAGAGGUGAUAUUAACAACCCAAAAGCUUAUUCCACUUUUGAAACUUUAAUAUCAUACACAACCUAAACCUAUCUCUGACAUGACCUUAAGGGAACCUAAAUCCCCAAGCAAUCUUCAUUUCUAAGCGAUUCAUCGACACAAGGAUUCCACCUUGAAUAGUAACAGCUUUGGAGUGUGGGACUUGUUAUCUAUACUUCAAAGCUUGUUCCUUGGAUGGGCAUCCCCACAAUAUCUAGUCUUCACUCACGUCUUUAUGUCCUUGAGUGCUAAGAUGCCUCUUUGACCCGUAUCAGGAGGAUAUGGUGGUCGAGGUACUACAGACUAUCUCUAUUGCAAAAUUUGUUGAAUUAAUUAGCAUAACAUAUUACUCACUCUUUUCAUUUUUAUUAGCACAACAUAUUACUCACGCUUUGUGAAUACCUUUGGUUACAUGUGUUCAGAGUAAGCAUCUAAUUCUACCUAGCAUUAUGUGAUAUUUUAUAGCUGUAUUUUACAAAUUUUCCAUGCUAUGAUAAUAUCUACAAUGCUUCUAUCUCCUAAAAUUUUUAUUGGUUUCAACAAGCAUAUUCAAAAUCACCCUACAAUACAUUCGUUUCUCUGAUGCUAGCUCAAAUACCGCCAACAUGAAUAAAAAAUAUGUCCUUAUUUGCUUUGAAUAUUAUUUUUUAGUUUCAUCGGUGACUUCUCUAUUUAGUUGAUUAAUUUAUGAAUCAAAUAGUCGUAUAUAAAACAUUGAAAUUCAUUUUUAGAUGUAAUCAAAUGUAUUCUUGAAGGUUUAAGAUAGAAUUAUAGAGGUAGCGAAUGAGAUUAUUUUUGACCAAACGACCAAAUACAUGAGAAAUCCUUUAUUUAACUAUUAUUUUUGGAUGAAAGAUUUUGGUGGAGAGGACUGAAAGUGCUAGAACAUUCAUAUUAAAUAGGCCAAAGCAGUUGAAUGCAAAAUCUUUUCAAAUGGUAUGCCAGAAUAUAUUAGCCGACAUUUGAUGAUAGAUUUUGGGAGUAGUUUUUAAAAAAAUUAUCUUUAAAGAUCUAAUUAGGAAAUUUGAUUCACAAAAUGUGAUAUUCAACUAGCUUCAAAUUCUUAAAAACUAGCUUCACUUACAAAGUUUUAAAAUAUGACAUGCAAUUUUGUAAUAUAAUCUACAUUAAGUUAGUCUGAUGAUGAUUUGGUUUCUAGUUUGCCUAAAUACCAUAUGUUUAAUAUUAAAAGAAAAAAAAAAUAUACCUAAUGACAUUGAAUCAUCGUGGAACUUGAAAAACAAGCAUGAAUGUGUUACUUGUUCAUGAUAAUGAUAGCUAGAAUACUAAUUUGAGAUUGGAUUUGUGUUUUGUAUUCUCAUGUAAUUAUAUCGACUAGUAAUUAUUCUUAUUAUAUUUACUUGGUGAACAUCUGAGCUUUGAGUCAUACAAUUUAUGUGAGUGAGUGGAGAUCUAGAUCUGGCAGUGGUAUGAAGGCCGAGAGGUAGCUUUAGUUGAUUCAUCAGUGGAUCUUAGUGUUGUUUGUGGUGUUGAUAUUGUGUUUGUUUAACUUACAUAAUUUGUUGCUCCUCAGGAUUUCAUAAAGGUGAAUUUUUUGUUGAAGCUUUGUUAAUAGUACUGUGUGUGUAUGUGUGUGUAUGUGUGUGUAUGAUUUGGUGUAACUAUGUGAUUAUGUAGUGAUAUUGGAGGUUAGAGAUAGAAUGAUGGAGUUAACAUGAGAUGCGUAAUUGAUCUCGAUGCUAUUUUGAAGGUGAGUAUUAUGUGUGUAUUUUAGUGUGUGAUUUAGUGUAAUUACGUAAGUUGUAUUGGGAUAUUGAAGGUUUGAGAUAGAAUUAUGGAGUUUCUGAAUGAAUUUAUUUUUGGCCAAACGACCAAAUACAUGAAAAAUUCUUUAUUUAACUAUUAUUUUUGGGUGACAAGUUUGGGUGGAGGGGACUUGAUACGAGUACGACCAUGAGGAUGGACAAGAAUGAGUACGUAUUGAAUCCGUCCAAGGAAGUGCACAAGUGAAGUGUAAAAGAGGGCCUAAAUGCAC